GACGAACGCUGGCGGCGUGCUUAACACAUGCAAGUCGAACGGAAAGGCCCUGCUUGCAGGGUACUCGAGUGGCGAACGGGUGAGUAACACGUGGGUGAUCUGCCCUGCACUUCGGGAUAAGCCUGGGAAACUGGGUCUAAUACCGGAUAGGAGCCAUUUUUAGUGUGAUGGUUGGAAAGUUUUUUCGGUGUAGGAUGAGCUCGCGGCCUAUCAGCUUGUUGGUGGGGUAAUGGCCUACCAAGGCGGCGACGGGUAGCCGGCCUGAGAGGGUGGACGGCCACAUUGGGACUGAGAUACGGCCCAGACUCCUCCGGGAGGCAGCAGUGGGGAAUAUUGCACAAUGGGCGCAAGCCUGAUGCAGCGACGCCGCGUGGGGGAUGACGGCCUUCGGGUUGUAAACUCCUUUCGCUCGGGACGAAGCUUUUUGUGACGGUACCUAGAUAAGAAGCACCGGCUAACUACGUG
rnacentral:rRNA from 1 species